ACUGAAAAAAAAAAAAAAAAAAAAAAAACCACAAUUCUUUAAAAAUUAUCUGGACUGUAUAGCGGCACUGUAAUAACCACUGUAAUCAACUUGUAAGCAACUCCAGUAGGGUUAUAAUGUGUUUUAUCUUCCAAAAUUACAAAUUAUAGAUGGAGGUAUAAAAUAACCCAGACUUUAUAAAAACACAAGAAAAAAAAAGGCAAUGUCUCCAUUUUUGGUUAGAUACCACUGUAGUCCACCUCUUCACAUUUAACAUUUGUAGCAUUGAGAUAUUUGCUAGACUGCAAAUUUUAAAACUGCUAAUUCAGGAAGGCCUGAGAUGACUUCUCUUAGACUGUAAAUUUGAAAACAUCCUGUUGCUUGCGGGAGGGAGGUUUUAUCCUUCUAACUGAAAUUCCUACCAUUGUCUACUUGUUUUGUAGUGACAGAAAGCAUUGGAUAGAGGCAAUCUGUUAUAAAUACGGAGCCCUUUACAUUUGGAACAUUAGACACAUGUAUUUUUAAAUACACAUCUAAACUAUGCAGGAAUCACUUAAAGCAUAAUAAAGUUUCAAAAAUCCUUGUCAGAUAACAGCUUCAGAGCACCACGUUUGUUGCAGCAGGCUGUGGAUAUCUACAGAUAGUUUUAGACUGGUAGACAGUUUCAGUAUCUUUGCAUAUAUAACUGCUUGAGUAUUAGAGAAAACCUAGAGCUGUGGCAUCUAGCUUUGAAAAGGCCAACGAAUCCACCGUGGCAUGGAUGCACUGCAAAUGCUUUCCAGGGAAAUCUAAGAAAUGUUUAUAGGCAAAGAGGGAGAUCUGUUUAAAACAUUAGUCUGCAUCCUUCUGUUCCUAAGCUCUGGUCUCUACGGCCUGUGGAGGUGUCUUGACAUGAAGACUCCCUUUCCUGCAGGAGUGCAGAGCUUGCCCAGGCAUUUGGACAAAUUCUACUUCAAAAAGCAAAGCUUCAUCCUAGUGAUGCAGUCGUAACUGCCCUGGCUCUGCUGCCCUUACAGAUAUGUGGGCUAGUAAGUAAAGCAAGUGUAUAUAAUGCCAGAGGCAAAAAUCAGACUUUGAUGAAAUCCAUGGCAAAACACCAGUAACACAAGUUGGACUGGAAAUCCAUUUCAGUGAUCCAAUGAAUAACAUGAAAAGUUUAAUGAGUAGAAUCACACUUCCAAGUACAAUGGCCACUACGAAAGAGUGAAUGUCGUCAGUUGCAUACUGUUGUGUGUAUCGUCAAUACAAGUCUCCUAAUUAUUUAAAUUGUUUUUUGUCUAAUCUUUGGCACUGGUUGCAGUUAAAAGAUAACGGCAAAUGAGUAUAAAUAUUAAGCAGAUGCCAACAAUAUGCAAUAGAAUGCAAGAACAGAAGAUUACAGAUAAAUCAUAUUAUUCCUUCCAACAAUAGGUUGUACAAAUCAGAAGUGUAGCUAGGUUAAAAAUGAAAACCUUGAAAAACUGAUCCUCAAAUAGCUAUUCUAUAUAUUGUUCUAACUACUGCGUUUGUGUCCAAAGUCCCAACACUGCUGUCUAGCAGCUAGAGGUAAGGCAGGAGACAAUCUGCUCUUUACAUUUCCCCUUUUAUCACUCCUUCCUAGGCCACUGCUGCAGUCUGUUAACUGUAACAGGUUAUUCAGCAAGAUGGAUUUUUUUCUAGCUGAACCAGGCCAACAGUUCCUAUGAUCUUGUCAUUAUGUGAUCCUUGCCUCAUUAUUAUAUGUCACUGUUUCAUGUCUAUUGGAGUUAAUUGGCUUGAAAGUCUUUGAAUUCUAUAACCUUAUAAAGCUACAUCUCAGACUCCUGCUUUGCUUUUCCAUAAGUGAGAAAUGUGCCAGAGAACAGUGGGAUUCCCAGAGAUGCUUUCGGGAGAGUUGGGUGAAGAAUCCUUACAAUGUGCUGGAGUUUGCCAUGCAUUUUGGCUGAUGACAAGCUAUCUGUUUCCAACUGAAAAGAAUAAAUUCCCUCUUGUAAAAUUGCCAAACCCUUCAGUGAGACAUCUCGCUGAUGUCAGCACUGCCAAAGGCAUUACAAAGCCUCAAGAUUUCUAGUUUGCUCCAUAUGCAUUUUAACGAUAGAUCCUUCUGUGUGGGUCCUCAAAAAUGUGGGAAAAGGGGGCAAAAAAAAAUCUUCCUUCUAGAGAGCAGGUUUGAAUUUUACUACUGAGAUAAAAUCCCUCACCCCAUCUGCACCUUAAAAGGUUGGAAGGUGCUGUCUUUUCUCCAAAGCCUGCUCUAGUCAGGAUAGGGAAGAUGUACUUCUCUAAAUGUGCAAAACAUAAUGUUACAGUCUACUAAAGCUCAUCCUUAGUCCUAAAUUCUCACUUGUCCAUUCUCUCUGCUCUGUCCAAAGUACUGGGAAGAAAUUUGCUCUCCCUACCCUGAUCCACCAUUCAUAACAAGGGUUUGUGGAGAAAGCCCUGGUGCUAGGAUUGAGUCAGCUAUUUAUAAAAAGGCUAUAACUCUGUGAGAGCUGCCUCCCUAUCAGUUCACCAAUGAAAGACGCAUCUGAGUGUAAGCUCUGUAUGCAAGACAUUGCUGACUGACCACAGUCCACAAUUAGUCUUGAAUGUAUUGAGGGAAACUACAAAUACAGAAUGUCUGCUCUCUGGAGGAGUGUGUGUGAGCUGACCUAGAGCUGUGUCUCAAAGGUCUAAUUAACAGGUUUUUCUGUUCUGAGUUUCAGCAAACCAAAUGCAUUUGUUAAAAUAUAAAAUUAAAUGAAUAGGAAAAUAAAGAAUUAUUUAUUUUAUUAUUACUUUUACAACCAUGUAAGUUGCAAAGUCUUCAUGGUGAUGGGCAAGUUGGUCAUGUGAAAGACUCCAAUACACGCUUCCCAAAUUAAAUUUGGACUGUAACACAUGACAGGGAGAAGGUUGCCCAGAAAAGUUGUGCAGUCUCCAUCCUUAGAGGCAUUCAUGUCCAGACUGGAUAAACAUCUGAACAACCUGGUCUGGCCGUAUAACUGACACUGCUUUGAGCAGAACCUUCCUGAGGAUAUUUAAGACCAUCCUAGAUCUUCCUUUUCAGUUAGGAAAGUAAAAGGGGGAAAAGAAGCACUUGAAAGAAUUCCAACUGUAUUCUAAGGAUUUUUUCUUUUACAAUUUUAAUGAAUAUAUAUGAGCAAAAUGUCCAUUAAACUCAGCCUCCAGUGUAAUCUGUUUGCAGUCCACACACCAUAUGCAGAGAUAUCUAGUCAAGUUAGCAAAGACCCUUGUUAAUUGAUUGGCAAGGUGGUGUGAUGAUGAUUGUACAGGACUGAGCCAUUAGGAUGGAGUCUUGAAUUUCACAUUGCUUUGUUGUGUAGCUUUGUGCCUGUAUAAGCAUUAAUAAUGCUGGGAGACCUGCAGUAGAAGGAGAAGACAUCCAAGUUAAGCAAUCUCUUAUCUUAAAGGAUAGACAGUUUCCAAAAUGCCCAUGUUGAGUUCUCUAUUGUUAAGAUUGGUUCUCUCAAAUAAGCAAUUUCAUUAGCUGAAUGAUCUCUCUAGGGAGAUCUUUUGCAACAUGUUUCUGCUCCAAAUCCAAAUCAGCCUGAUGUGGGACUGAGCUAAUGAUUUACGGCAGAUACUGUGUCAGAUUAAAGUGGACUUUUGUUGCCAAAGCUAUAUUAAAUGAGCCAGUGAUGAGCUGAGUGUGAGAUAGGACUGAUUUAGGAAAGGUAGAGCCCUCAAUCUACAGUGAUAGCAUGGAAUAUUCAUUCCAUCUAUGCCAUUUCCUGGCUGCAUAUGUGUAAAUAUAUCAAAUCGCUGUUUCUGAACAUUUUAGGUCUGUGACAGGAAUACCCCAAACUGCAACCACUUUUGAAAAAGAACUUGGUCUUCAUACUGGCUAUAGCUGGGUAUUAUGACAAAGAGUCAAAAGAAUAAGAGAGUAUUCAACAAGGCGAAUGUGGCGCUAAAGAAGUGGUCUGUUCUGCAAGCUUCUUUCAUGAUUUUGGGCAAACUGCUCACUGUUUCCGUGCCUAUAAUACAGGGAUAUUCUGAUGUUCACCAGGGUUUGGUGAAUACUUUUUGAAAAUACUUUUUGAACAACUUUUUUCUUUUUUUUUAAUACAGAAUUAAAAGCACUUGUACUGCCUACCUGUGGCAGUUUGGUCAACUUUAUAAAUGCUUUAAAUUUGUGUUGUUUCUGGUGUAGCUGUAGUAUUGCAUAAAAUAAAUAAAUAA